rnacentral:lncRNA from 1 species
CUCCCCUUUGGGUUUGCUGUCUGGAAAGGAUGGAAAUAAGUGGAGGAGGAGGGGUGGGGGAACAGCAAGGGAAAAAGUUAUGCAAUGCCCUGCACUAAUUCUCCACCUUCCAAAGGAGGCUGAUCCCUGGACACACACACAUGAUUUGGCUGCUUGCCUCAGGGGAUUGAAGAGUUCAGACCUGUCAGACGAACACUUCUGCAUUCUGGCAGCUGCACCGUUAGUUAAUAAUAAAAAGGUGGAAUGGUUGGAUCGGAGUUGAACCACUCAAAUCAAGGGAUCAAGUCUAAGUGAAAUUUUAUUGAUUCUAUUGGCAGCAAGAUCCUCGCAGACAACCCCAGGCGUUAUCUAGAGACCAUUGCGCUCUGGAAGAUCUUCAGAGCACGCGAUUCCUGUGACGUACAGCUGCUCACUACUAAAGUCCCCCUGUGGGACUUUUUUUUCAGAAGUUUGAGCAGCCAGAGAAUUACUGAAGGUAGAAAGGACCAUCAAGAUCACCAAGUCUAACCCUCAAAGCUUCUGAGUGAUGGACACAUGAAAAUAACAACAGAACUUGACCUUCUGACAUUUCCAACAGCAAGCUCAGAAACACCAUCAAGAUAAAUCUGAAGAGGUUUCCCAAGAAUUUAAGGUAAGG